rnacentral:rRNA from 1 species
AUACGUAGGGGGCGAGCGUUGUCCGGAAUGACUGGGCGUAAAGGGCGUGUAGGCGGCCGAUUAAGUCUGGAGUGAAAGUCCCGCUUUCAAGGUGGGAAUUGCUUUGGAGACUGGUUGGCUUGAGUGCGGAAGAGGUAAGUGGAAUUCCCAGUGUAGCGGUGAAAUGCGUAGAGAUUGGGAGGAACACCAGUGGCGAAGGCGACUUACUGGGCCGUAACUGACGCUGAGGCGCGAAAGCGUGGGGAGCGAACAGGAUUAGAUACCCUGGUAGUCCACGCUGUAAACGAUGAUGACUAGGUGUGGGGGGACUGAACCCUUCCGUGCCGCAGUUAACACAAUAAGUAUUCCACCUGGGGAGUACGAUCGCAAGAUUGAAACUCAAAGGAAUUGACGGGG